UUGAACGCUGGCGGCAGGCCUAACACAUGCAAGUCGAACGGUAACAGGAAGAAGCUUGCUUCUUUGCUGACGAGUGGCGGACGGGUGAGUAAUGUCUGGGAAACUGCCUGAUGGAGGGGGAUAACUACUGGAAACGGUAGCUAAUACCGCAUAACUUCGCAAGACCAAAGAGGGGGACCUUCGGGCCCCUUGCCAUCGGAUGUGCCCAGAUGGGAUUAGCUAGUAGGUGGGGUAACGGCUCACCUAGGCGACGAUCCCUAGCUGGUCUGAGAGGAUGACCAGCCACACUGGAACUGAGACACGGUCCAGACUCCUACGGGAGGCAGCAGUGGGGAAUAUUGCACAAUGGGCGCAAGCCUGAUGCAGCCAUGCCGCGUGUAUGAAGAAGGCCUUCGGGUUGUAAAGUACUUUCAGCGGGGAGGAAGGGAGUAAAGUUAAUACCUUUGCUCAUUGACGUUACCCGCAGAAGAAGCACCGGCUAACUCCGUG
rnacentral:rRNA from 1 species